GGCACUUGUAUUUGUUUCUGUUUAAUUUGUAGACAAAGACUUACAGACAGGUGCAAAAAUAAAUCCUCUUUUGCAACCCAGGACUCAUCGUUCAGUAUGAGUUUUGAUACAUAUAAGAAGGAACAUG
rnacentral:snoRNA from 1 species